AUACGGAGGAUCCGAGCGUUAUCCGGAUUUAUUGGGUUUAAAGGGUGCGCAGGCGGGAGAUUAAGUCGGCGGUGAAAUUUUGCAGGGCAACUGUAAAAGUGCCUUCGAAACUGGGUUCCUUGAGUGUAGAUGAAGUAGGCGGAAUUUGGGGGGUGGCGGUGGAAUGCAUAGAUAUCACGAGGAACUCCGAUUGCGCAGGCAGCUUACUAAACUACUACUGACGCUCAGGCACGAAGGCGUGGGGAUCAAACAGGAUUAGAUACCCUGGUAGUCCACGCAGUAAACGAUGAUUACUAGCUGUUUGCGAUACAAUGUAAGCGGCUGAGCGAAAGCGUUAAGUAAUCCACCUGGGGAGUACGUUCGCAAGAAUGAAACUCAAAUGAAUUGACGGGG
rnacentral:rRNA from 1 species